UAGGGAAUCUUCGGCAAUGGACGGAAAGUCUGACCGAGCAACGCCGCGUGAGUGAAGAAGGUUUUCGGAUCGUAAAACUCUGUUGGUAGAGAAGAACGUUGGUGAGAGUGGAAAGCUCAUCAAGUGACGGUAACUACCCAGAAAGGGACGGCUAACUACGUGCCAG
rnacentral:rRNA from 1 species